rnacentral:rRNA from 1 species
UACGUAGGGUGCGAGCGUUACUCGGAAUUACUGGGCGUAAAGCGUGCGCAGGCGGUCUGUUAAGUCCGAUGUGAAAUCCCCGGGCUUAACCUGGGAACUGCAUUGGUGACUGGCAGGCUUUGAGUGUGGCAGAGGGAGGUAGAAUUCCACGUGUAGCAGUGAAAUGCGUAGAGAUGUGGAGGAAUACCGAUGGCGAAGGCAGCCUCCUGGGCCAACACUGACGCUCAUGCACGAAAGCGUGGGGAGCAAACAGG